rnacentral:rRNA from 1 species
AAUGAACGUUGGCGGCAUGGAUUAGGCAUGCAAGUCGAGCGAGAAGUGUAGCAAUACACGGAAAGCGGCGGAAGGGAGAGUAAUACGUGGGAAUCUGCCCUUAGACCUGGGAUAGCAGCGGGAAACUGCUGGUAAUACCAGAUAAUGUCUAUGGACCAAAGGUGUGAUUCCGUCUAGGGAUGAGCCCACGUCCUAUUAGCUAGUUGGUAGGGUAAUGGCCUACCAAGGCGGUGAUGGGUAGCGGGUGUGAGAGCAUGACCCGCCUUACUGGGACUGAGACACUGCCCAGACACCUACGGGUGGCUGCAGUCGAGAAUCUUCGGCAAUGGGCGCAAGCCUGCCCGAGCGAUGCCGCGUGCGGGAUGAAGGCCUUCGGGUUGUAAACCGCUGUCGAGGGGGAGCAACUUCCAUAGAGUUAUCUUUAUGGAUUGAGUGAUCCCUGGAGGAAGGACGGGCUAAGUUCGUGCCAGCCGCCGCGGUAAAAC